rnacentral:tRNA from 1 species
GGAGGGAUGUCCGAGGGGUUUAAGGAGGCGGUCUUGAAAACCGCUGGGGGCCGCAAUGCCCUCCGUGGGUUCGAAUCCCACUCCCUCCGCCA